rnacentral:misc_RNA from 1 species
GAGACUACAGAAACCAAAACUUAUAUAAUCAGAGGACUGGUCAAUUGUGUGGGCUCGUAAUUAGAACUGUAAUUUGAGAAGCACCGUAAGUAGCAAACUAGAUCAAGUACGCCAGUGCUUUGCACCUUUGUUGGAUAUCUAGGCAUCUUCAUGUGCUAGAUUGCAAUCGGCAUAAUACAUAAAUGUGUCCUUAACUUGGCUUCAUUUUACAUUUAUGUCCUCGAACUUUAGAUAUGCACAAGUAGACACUUAAAC